rnacentral:lncRNA from 1 species
UUUUUCCCCUCUUUUGAGAAGGUCGCCGGAGCCCCGUCACCGCCGGAGAUCCAUUCGUCGACGACCGGAGGUGAGGAAGACAACCAUCAAUAUUUUUUUAUGGAUUUAAGGGGAGAGAAAAGAUGGGGAGUCAUUCGGUUUUACCUUCCCCUGUUUCGGAAGAAUUUUUUUUGUGAUGUUUGGCCGGCCGACGGUGGCCGGCCGGGGUCAAUCCGGCCGAAACGGGUUCGGCCGGAGGUGGGCGAACGGGGGCCGGGCUUCCCAGCCCCGGUCCCUCUCUUUCCUCCCUCUCUUUCUUCCCUUUCUUCUUCUCCUUCUUCUCUUCUUCUUCCCGUCCGGCGCCGCCCGUGAAGGUGGGAUGGCCGACGGCGGCUGACUGAGCGCCGCCGCCGAGGGCCACGGUCGACCGCCGAGGGCCGACCGGAACCACCAGUCACCCNN